rnacentral:lncRNA from 1 species
UGCUUCUGGACCAAAUGACCACGGGGAGUGGGCGGCAUGACUGAGGGCCCUUCACCUGGCCGAUGUUCUGCUCCAGGACCACUUUGGAGAACCCCUCAGCAGAAUGUGCAGCUGUCAGGUGGCCAGGCCUCAGAGCAAUCUCAGCAGAUCAAGCCAAGGUGAGCUAGAUCUGAAUUUUUUUUUUUAAAGAAACAUUUCACCCAGGAUGUAGCGGUUUAGAUGGCUGAUAAAAAUGGCUUUGAAGUAAGUUUUUGCUGUCAGGUCACAUCUAAUAUAGUAAGAGAGCACUGCUGUGGAAAGCAGCUGUCCCACUCCUCCCUUGUCCCACUGCCUCAAGCUCCUUCCUGCCUAUUCUAAUGCCAGCCCCAACUGCCAUCGGGUGAGAACUUUCAGCUGGCAGAGCUGGCAAACACCAACACUGCAAAACAGAGAAAGGAAAUAAAAGAAGAAUUUUUACUAGAUCAGCCACUGCAUCCUCUCAUCCUCUAGCGAAACAAUUACCAGGUCAAAUUAAAGGCAAAGGGAAAAGCCAAGAAGCCACCGAAGAGAAGAUCAUUUGGAAGGAACUCAUAUUAGACAAUGUGUAAUACAAAAUCACAGCAUCAGAGGCCAAGGAGAUAUAAUGGCCUCGGUCAAACAGAACUCAUUCACCACAGUCUGCAUCAUUGUACAAGCAAGUCAGGCUCUCCAUGUUCUUGGCUACAGCAUAGCAGCUCCUCUCAGGCCACUCCUUCUACUGUAGGAAGCUGAGUGUUCACAAGGAAACACAGUGAGAGGCUCACAGGAUGUGGUAAAAGGAUGUCUGUGUGGGAUGCAUGUAACCUACAAAAGACUACAAACACACUCAAAUCAAGGCAGGAAGCAUCUGUGGGGGUCACUGAGGAGUGAUGGAGGACUGAAUCCAUUCGGCAUUCUAUGAGUCAUGGUAUUUUUAAAUGAAGUAUUGGGCCAACUUUUCACUAAAAUUAUUUCUACCUCUUUCAUUUUAUUCUUUUAUCAUUGGGACUAUUACUGGUCAAAUUACAUCCUAUGUCAUGCAAAAUGCCUUCACAACUGAGGAAAACAGACAAAAGGUUUGUAUCUGAAACAUAUUAAUGUGAUUUU